CAGAACCCCUGGCUGGAAUUACAGCCUAAUUUACAACUUGGUAAGAGGGGAGGCUGAGGGUCCAUCAUCCGUGUUUCAGAUGUGGUGAGGACCUCAGGGUCAAGGUCCGCCAGGGAAUCCAGACUGGCCCCUUCACCCUUGGUGGGGACACGGAUUUGCAGAGUAUGCUCAGCAGCCAGUGACAGCCUCCCGUUCUAAGAGAAAAAUGGACACUUUGGUUCCCAGCCAUUCUGCCAGAGAACCGAAGAUCACUGCAGUUUGAUUUUUACAGAGUCUGUAUCACUCUUGCAGCCUGGGACUCUGAGGUGCAAACUUGGCCAGCCCAGUGAGGUAAUUUUCGGGGUUUUACCAGUUUACCCUCCUAUGAACAGCGUAUGAGGUUCUUUACCUGUCUGUCCUCUUAUCAGGGAGAACUGCUUGUCCGUUAGCCAGCUGCCAUCACAGCUCCCAAGAGCUGACUGGGAUUCCCUGGGAAGGCCGCUGCACCUCCUGGCCAGGCAGUGAAUGGGCUUCCGUGCGGUGGAUGGAGCUGGUCCCAGCGGAUAGGGAGCCGGGCUGGUUUCCCUUCUCGUGUGACAACCCAGGUGUCGGGUAUUCAAGAGGUGGCCUACUCUACAGCUGCCUGGAGGAAGGCGGAGAAGAAACAGCUUGUGCCCAGCAUGGAAUCUUCUGGGGAUUGGUGGAAAAUGACCUCCAGGCUCCCUCACCCCUUGGUCUCUGUGAGUGCUUAGAGCCCACCUGGCCUGUUUGCACCUGACGUCUCCAGUUGCAUCCCUCAGAUAAAGAAACUAAGAAUUAAAAGGUAAAGAGACUUGUCCAGUUAGAGGCAGAGCUGGAGUCUGGACCCAGAAAGUUAGACUCUAGAGCUUAAUCACAGCCCUGUACUGCCUUCCAUUGUUUUGAUAAAAGAAACACAGCACCUCUCAGUUGCGCUGUGGGAAAUGUUGCAGGCUGGUGUCUUUCCGUCUCAAAAUCAGUUUCUUCAGCCUACUUCCCAGUGCCCUAGGGUGUCCUUUGGUCUGAUCUUUGUUUAAAGCUGUCUUUCCUUCCUAUUAAAAUGUGCACACUUAAGGCUUUAUCCCCUCAAGGUCUUCAACACCCUUGAGCAUCAGUGGCUCUAAUAGCUCUAAGAGAUCAUUUUCUUCCAUUUUCAAGACCCCCAAAUUCAAAGGCUUGACAGUGUGGAAAUUUUAGACUCCAAAGGAAGCUUUCUGGGAUUCUUAAGUUGCUUUGAGAUGGGAAGCUUAGCUACGGGCCUGGAACACUUCUAACAGAGCCAAGAUUUCCCUAGCUAGCUCCUAUUAAUUUUGGGGAGAGAGAGAGCACGCAUGAGAUUGAGAGGAAAGAUAGCAAGAACCCUCAAGACUGAUGCUGUAGGUCAUCAUGCAUAGAUAUGCACUUACAUAAAGGCGUUCCAUGCUGUGUAGAGGGCGAAGCUGCUGCCGAGAAUCUGCUUCAAUUACGAUGGAACAUUUCAAUUCCGUCAUCUGCCACAUUCUCUAACCAGAGGUCUUUCAGCACAAGACAAGCUCGUGGGAAAGGGAUCUGAUCUGCGUGAGGGCUUAAUGCCAUGGCCUGUUCUGUAUGUAUCUGUGUUUGUAGAAAAAUUCAGUACUUAAUUGUAUGCUUGGCCUGCUCACCACUAAUUUCUAAAAGAGACAUUCCAAAGCCUUGGUUAGGUUCACUCAUAUCUCAUAAAAGCCAUAACUUGACUGCGGGCACCCCAGAACUAAUCCUGUGUGGAGACAGGGGCAGCAGUCACCUGGGAGAGUUGACGUUUUGGAAGCCCCAUUGUGCAGAGAAUUAUCAGUCCCCUCUCCAACAUCCAUUCCCCUUCCUCUUUCCUAAAUGCAUCCCGAAUUUCCCAGCAUGUGGUUUGAAGACUGGUUGAAGGGAGUUACCCAGUUCUUUUUUGGUUGAAGGCCAUCGGCCUGAUUCCUUCUACAGUGAAUUGGUUCAGGAGUGGGAAUGCGGUGUGAGUGGCUUCAGCAAGAGGAACCCCAGGAAUUCUUUUAAGCCUGUGGAGAAACGCUCUUUCCCUUGAGAUAUGAAUGAGAAAUAUGAGCCCUAUUAGCUCUCCUGUGACCCUGAGAGUCAAGUUGGCUUUAGGAUGAAGAGGAUGCUAAGAAAGGUCCACAGAAAGCUGGGAAGGAAAUGGAUGCUGAGCACCGUUGUUCAGUCACUCAAUCAGACCAUACCUGAAGCCUGUUCUACCUCCAAGAACGUCAGUUCCCUGUAAAGCUUGAGCCUGAGUAGGGGUUUCUGUUACUCGAAGUGAAAAUAACCUGUACUAUUACACCCACCCACCAAAGUGUUGUCCUUUCCUGGUCUGCUUGUGACUGGAAACAGCUGCUAAUAAAAUCAUGCUACACGCAUUACUUCAGGAAACAUUACUCUGGAAUUCCCAUCCCAGGAGGAGUUCCUAAUCUUGUGGAGGAGAAAGAUGUGUCGUGCUACAACAGAUUGGCACAAUCAGUCCUGAGAUGUAGCUGGGACAUGUGCACACAGAGUGACGGGGACCCCAGAGCUUGAAUGCAGUUUCAUGUUGCUGAGCAUCGUUUCAAUAAGAGAAGCAAAGAGCCUCCUAAUUGGGAUAUAGGCUCUGCCCAGAGGAUUGUGGGGAGGUUUUAACAAACAAUAUCUCUGAGAAUGUCAUCACCCACCAAGCACUGUUCUAGGUAGUGGAGAUAGUGCGGUCAGCCUCAGUUGGCUUGGGCUGCUAUAACAAAUACCGGCAACUGGGUAGCUUAUACAACAAGCAUUAUUUCGGACACUUCUGGAGAGUAGAGAGUCCAAGAUCAAGGUGCUGGUUCAUUUUGCC
ensembl:lncRNA